AACAAAGUCGGCCCCAAAGUCGCCCCAAUUUUUGAACUGCGUGGUUGUGCGCGCGUCGUAAACAGAUUAAACUUUAAAUAAGUACAAUUUUGGAUAACGUAUUUCUUUGGAGAGCCAGGCCGAGAGAGCAGAAAGAGAGUGAAAAAGAAAAAACAAUCGGUUCGGCGGCAAUACGGGUAUUUUUAAUCUAAGCUAAAAACGAAAAAAAAAGUAAAAUAUACGGGUAGAGCCGAGUGCUAAAAAUCGGGAAAAUAAUUUAAUGCAAUAUUUCUAAAUGUGUUUAUAAAUCGUUAGCAACGUAGUAACUAAUUGCAAAAAGCAUCUCCCCAUCUCUCUCAUACAUAUACAAAUCGCGCGACUAGGAAUUUAUCUAAAGUGUAAACCAAAUGCUAAUCUAAGCUGCUAAUCUAAGUGUAAACUAAGUGUAGGAACCAAUACGAGAAUUUAAACGCGUCUAAAACUGAAACUCAAGCAAACCAACAAACAAGAGACAAACAAACGUUUGUCAAGCAAAGCAACGCGCGCGACAAAACAGCAACGCAACGAGAAUUUCCUCUCCUCUCCGUGGUCCCUUAGGUCGGCAAAAUAGCUAAGUCCAUUUUGCAAUUCUUAAAAAAGAAGAAAUCCCAUCAUAGUUCGACAUCGGGCGAGGGCAAGCUACAGCAGCAGUCCAGCUACGAGGAGGAGGGCGUCGGCGGUGGAGGAGGACCGGAGCAGGCGGCUAGCAGCAGCAGCUCGGCUGGGCCAGGAGGAGCAGUAGGAGGAGGCGCCGCCGCCGCAAGCCAAAAGACAACGCCCCCAACGGCAGCAGCAGCAUCCGAGGGAGGAGCGGCAGCAGCGACCACGACAGACGGAGCAACAGCAAAAGCAGGAGCAGCAGGAGCCGCCAGUGAGGAACAGCCACAGGUAUCUGCCAGCGCCACGUUUCGCCUUUCAUCGCUCACGGGCACAAUCUCGAAGAUGGGAAACAACGCGACCACGUCCAACAAGAAGGUGGAUGCCGCCGAGACGGUCAAGGAGUUCCUCGAGCAGGCGAAGGAGGAGUUCGAGGACAAGUGGCGCCGCAACCCCACCAAUACCGCUGCCCUCGACGACUUCGAGCGGAUCAAGACGCUCGGGACGGGCUCCUUUGGCCGCGUGAUGAUCGUCCAGCACAAGCCCACGAAAGACUACUACGCCAUGAAGAUCCUCGACAAGCAGAAGGUCGUCAAGCUGAAGCAGGUGGAGCACACGCUGAACGAGAAGCGCAUCCUGCAGGCCAUCCAGUUCCCCUUCCUCGUCUCGCUGCGCUACCACUUCAAGGACAACUCCAACCUCUACAUGGUCCUCGAGUACGUGCCCGGCGGCGAGAUGUUCUCCCACCUGCGGAAGGUGGGCCGCUUCUCGGAGCCCCACUCGCGCUUCUACGCGGCGCAGAUCGUGCUGGCCUUCGAGUAUCUGCACUACCUGGACCUCAUCUACCGGGACCUCAAGCCCGAGAAUCUGCUGAUCGACUCGCAGGGGUACCUCAAGGUCACGGACUUUGGGUUCGCCAAGCGCGUCAAGGGCCGCACCUGGACGCUCUGCGGCACGCCCGAGUAUCUGGCGCCGGAGAUCAUCCUGUCGAAGGGCUACAACAAGGCCGUCGACUGGUGGGCGCUCGGCGUCCUCGUCUACGAGAUGGCCGCCGGCUAUCCGCCCUUCUUCGCGGACCAGCCCAUUCAGAUCUACGAGAAGAUCGUCUCGGGCAAGGUGCGCUUCCCCUCGCACUUUGGGUCCGACCUGAAGGACCUGCUGCGCAACCUCCUGCAGGUUGACCUGACCAAGCGCUAUGGCAAUCUGAAGGCGGGCGUCAAUGAUAUUAAGAACCAGAAGUGGUUCGCCUCCACCGACUGGAUUGCGAUCUUCCAAAAGAAAAUCGAGGCCCCCUUCAUACCCCGGUGUAAGGGGCCCGGCGACACAAGCAAUUUCGACGACUACGAGGAGGAGGCACUGCGGAUCUCCAGCACCGAGAAGUGCGCCAAGGAGUUUGCUGAAUUCUAGAUCAAGUUUUCCACCUCCACUCCACCCAUAUUUUUGCAACCGCCACAACAACAACAACAGCAGCAAAAACAGCAGCAAAAACAACAAUUGCAACAACAGCAGGACAAAUCAGAUCCGGUGGACUUGCCUCCUGCUCCUGGAGUUGCUGUUGCGGCCCAGCGGACCCUGUCCUCAUAGCCGUAGCCGUAGCCGUAGCCGCCGUCGUUGUCGUCGUCGUCGUCGUCGUCUUGUCUAUAUGUCUACUUCUACUUGCAACUGCAACUGCAACAAACAACAACAAAAACAACUACUAACUACAUCUACUUCGUCUACGUGUACGUCUGGACAUAUGGUGUAUCUAUAUCUAUGUCUAUAUCCAUCCACAUGCCACGUAUCUAUCCACACAACACAACACAACAAGAACACGAACGUCUCUAGCUACUCCACAAUGGAUUUUUCACUACAAUUUUCAUAAAUCAUAAGCAACACAAAACUACAAACACUACAAACUACAAACUACAAACUUCAAGCUACAAACUACAAAGAACUACAAUCUACAGGUGGAACAGUGUAAAAGUAGCGCUGCUCCUCCUCCUCGAAGCCAAACCUCAGCCGAAGCAGCCUUUUUGUCUAGAGACCAGCCAGCCAGAGAGGGCCAGAAGCGGGACAGGAUGAGCGGAAGGGAAAGGAAACAGAAAGGAAAAGGAAUGGAAUGAAUGCCCAAAUGGAAUAGAAGCCCAAAUAGAGUUAUAGAAAUAGCAAUGGAAACAAUUAAAAUGACUUACAUAUAGAUAUUCAUUCAUACAUACAUACAUAUAGCGUAUAUAACCACGAGACUACAGAUAUUUAGUUGUAACGUAGUUUAGUCUUAUAACCGAAGAAGAAGAGGAAGCGGAAGAUGAAGAAGAAUCGAGAAGAAAACA
rnacentral:misc_RNA from 1 species